AUACGUUUUAUUUUGAACGUCAUUAUUGCAAGUACCUGCAUUUCCAUUAGGUUCAAUAAUGUCCAUGUUGAGAAUGAUAAUGUUACAUAAUGUUUUUUUAGACGAGAAAAAUGCUUCUCAGAAUGAUAAUUUCUUCCGCGACAUGUUGACAAACUCUAUGGUCGAUCUACAGAGUGUAAAAACUCAUUAAUGUUACAAAAACGUCGACUGACACUGCAACGAGACAACUAUAAUUGUCAGAUGCUAUAGCAUUGGAGACAAAAAAAAGAUACAUUGGAACGACUAACAAUAGGGCCGCAGCGAUAAAUAACGACUUUAAUUUACUUAUAUUUAAAUAAUUAUAAGCUAACACAAUACUGUAAGUAUUGGCAUUAAUUUAUUAAAAAUAUAACACAAAUUAAUUUAUUGUUACAACAAACAAAAUAACAGCAAUGAAAAAUUUUAGGCAAUAAAUGUAAUAAAAAUAUUAUUUGAAUUAUAACAAUAUCAUUACAAAUUUUAAUUUAAUUUUUUCAACAUUAAUUUUAUUAUGACCUUACCCUCAAGCGUAGUGUGUUUCAAGUUUUUCCUAUUUCUUUAUAUUCUUGUAUACCUUAAUGCGUCCCUGUUCUUGAUGUAUAUCCCUAGUUUAAAAAGUUUCUGAAUUGUACCUCGUAACUAUUGAUCGUUACGUAUAACAUUUUCUUGCGCUUGAAAUUUAAUACUUUUCUUUCAUAUUAUAUCCUUCUCUUCUAACCAAUCAGCGAUGGAUCAUGCGCAUUCUGCUUGCGAGGGAGUUGCCAUUCUCUACCAUCACGGGAACUCUUCGACUGCGCGUUUUAUUUAUGGUAGUAUCUUAUGAUAGCGUGACGGUAACAAGUGCUUUGCGUUAUCGUGCUCGAAUAUAAGAGAAAUAAUUAUCAGGUUUUAAUAUUUAAAUUGUUAAUUAUUUUUGCGGUCAAAAUUAUGCGUGUAAUGAGUUUGCGUAUUAAAAAAAGUAUGAGAUUGAUAAUAAUUAUACAAAUAAUUUUGUAACGUAUAGAUUUGAUUAUCUUACUAACAAUAAGUAAUAGUGUUACUGAUGUUGUUUCUCUCGCGCGCAGCAAAGUGUUUACAAAAAAAUAAUAUCACAAUUUCAUAUUGCUACUGCUGGUAUUUUCUCAUCAAAUGAAUGAAUUUCACCAACGAAAAGGAUGAUGGCAAUGACGAAUGUCACGUACGAGAAAAAUGCUUCUCAGAAUGGUAAUUUCUUCCGUGACAUGUUGGCAAGCUCUAUGGUCGAUCUACAGAGUGUAAAAACUCAUUAAUGUUACAAAAACGUCGACUGACACUGCAACGAGACAACUAUAAUUGUCAGAUGCUAUAGCAUUGGAGAUAAAAAAAAGAUACAUUGGAACGACUAACAACAGGGCCGCAGCGAUAAAUAACGACUUUAAUUUACUUAUAUUUAAAUAAUUAUAAGCUAACACAAUACUGUAAGUAUUGGCAUUAAUUUAUUAAAAAUAUAACACAAAUUAAUUUAUUGUUACAACAAACAAAAUAACAGCAAUGAAAAAUUUUAGGCAAUAAAUGUAAUAAAAAUAUUAUUUGAAUUAUAACAAUAUCAUUACAAAUUUUAAUUUAAUUUUUUCAACAUUAAUUUUAUUAUGAGCUUACCCGCAAGCGUAGUGUGUUUCAAGUUUUUCCUAUUUCUUUAUAUUCUUGUAUACCUUAAUGCAUCCCUGUUCUUGAUGUAUAUCCUUAGUUUAAAAAGUUUCUGAAUUGUACCUCGUAACUAUUGAUCGAUACGUAUAACAUUUUCUUGCGCUUGAAAUUUAAUACUUUCGUCUCAUAUCAUCCUUCUCUUCUAACCAACCACCGAUGGAUCAUGCGCAUUCUGCUUGCGAGGGUGUUGCCAUUCUCUACCAUCACGGGAACUCUUCGACUGCGCGUUUUAUUUAUGGCAGUAUCUUAUGAUAGCGUGACGGUGACAGGUGCUUUGCGUUAUCGUGCUCGAAUAUAAGAGAAAUAAUUAUCAAGUUUUAAUAUUUAAAUUGUUAAUUAUUUUGACGGUCAAAAUUAUGCGUGUAAUGAGUUUGCGUAUUAAAAAAAGUAUGAGAUUGAUUAAAAUUAUACAAAUAAUUUUGUAACGUAUAGAUCUAAUUAUCUUACUAACAAUAGUAAUAGUGCUACUGAUGUUGUUUCUCUCGCGCGCAACAAAGUGUUUACAAAAAAAUAAUAUCACAAUUUCAUAUUGCUACUGUUGGUAUUUUCUCAUCAAAUGAAUACGAGAAAAAUGCUUCUCAGAAUGGUAAUUUCUUCCGCGACAUGUUGGCAAACUCUAUGGUCGAUCUACAGAGUGUAAAGAAUCAUUAAUGUUACAAAAACGUCGACUGACACUGCAACGAGACAACUAUAAUUGUCAGAUGCUAUAGCAUUGGAGACAAAAAAAAGAUACAUUGGAACGACUAACAAUAGGGCCGCAGCGAUAAAUAACGACUUUAAUUUACUUAUAUUUAAAUAAUUAUAAGCUAACACAAUACUGUAAGUAUUGGCAUUAAUUUAUUAAAAAUAUAACACAAAUUAAUUUAUUGUUACAACAAACAAAAUAACAGCAAUGAAAAAUUUUAGGCAAUAAAUGUAAUAAAAAUAUUAUUUGAAUUAUAACAAUAUCAUUACAAAUUUUAAUUUAAUUUUUUCAACAUUAAUUUUAUUAUGAGCUUACCCUCAAGCGUAGUGUGUUUCAAGUUUUUCCUAUUUCUUUAUAUUCUUGUACACCUUAAUGCGUCCCUGUUCUUGAUGUAUAUCCCUAGUUUAAAAAGUUUCUGAAUUGUACCUCGUAACUAUUGAUCGAUACGUAUAACAUUUUCUUGCGCUUGAAAUUUAAUACUUUCCUUUUAUAUUAUAUCCUUCUCUUCUAACCAAUCAGCUAUGGAUCAUGCGCAUUCUGCUUGUGAGGGUGUGCCAUUCUUUACCAUCAUGGGAACUCUUCGACUGCCCUUGCGCGCGUUAUUUACGGCAGUAUCUUAUGAUAGCGUGACGGUGACAGGUGCUUUGCGUUAUCGUGCUCAAAUAUAAGAAAAAUAAUCAUUAGGUUUUUAUAUAUUAGUUAUUAUCUUUGAGGUCAAAAUUAUGCGUGUAAUGAGUUUGCAUAUUAAAAAAAGUAUGAGAUUGAUAUUAAUUAUGCAAAUAAUUUUGUAACGUAUAGAUCUGAUUAUUUUACUAACAAUAAGUAAUAGUGUUACUGAUGUUUCUCUCGCGCGCAAUUAAGUGUUUACAAAAAAAUAAUAUCACAAUUUCAUAUUCAACUGGUAUUUUUUCAUCAAAUAAAAGCGAGGUUUCGUCAACAGUAGCAUAAAUGAAAGAGAAUUGUUGCAUUCACGAUGUGUAGGACAAACGUCCAGGACAACAUGCGUGGCCUGCUUUCAUUGUUUCGCAAAAAGUUAAUUUGUCGAGCCACAUGGUACUUGCGAUGCCGAAACCACGUAUGUAUGUACGAGUACGUUGGUCCGCUUUACCAAAGAGCCGCCUUUAUGUCGCUCGCCCGUUGCGCUUUAUCAAAUCUCACUUCAUUCGCGGGAUUCCCGUUUCGCGAUGUCUAUGACGGAUUUUUAAUUCUCCACGAGGAAUCUCCCUCCCUUUUGGAUUCGCGCGCAAUCAUCGAAUGACUGCGUUUCCGCGGAUUUUCAUGAAAUAACGAGACACGUGGCUUGUUGCGUUUUUGAACUACGUCGAGUUUUUGCUUGAAACGGUGGAUUGCUCUGCAAAAAAAUAAAAAAAAAACAGUAUACGUACCAUAUGUAAACAAACAGGCGGCAUUUUUUUUUUGCUGUGCCCUAUAGUUUUGACUAAUUUAUGCAUAUUUUUUAAUUAUUCUUUUUAGCCUUGCUCAUAUAACAUUAUUAGGAGAGCGAUGUCUAUAUUUUUUAUAUAGAGUUUUGCUCAACUUACUGCUCAAGUGCAAUAUUAUGUUGAUUGUUGUAAUUUUCAUGUGAUAAAAUUCGCUUUUUCUUCUAUUUCUUUGCCAAAUUUCAACUUGUUCGAACAAUGGCAACCUGUGUCGCUGGCUCGUUAAAUAUUUGAGUUCCUUUGUAUUAAGCUUUCAAUUUGGUUUCCACAAAAAUCGAUCUAAAAAACUUUUCUUUUUUUUAUAUGUGUACCUUAGUUUUUUGAAACGUUUGAGGUCUUAUACACCUUAUUUAAACAAUUAAAUGAAUUGUUAAUGAUUAAAACAAAAAUAAAUAGUUAUUAUGUUUUUCGAUUUUUUGAGCUGGUAAAAUGAUUCAUGGAUUGAAAAAGUAUUAUUAGUAUGUUUGGAAGCAAAAUAAAUGUCAAACAUGUAUUUUACCUAUUUUUAUUAAUAAAGUGGUUUGUUACAGUUAACAUUACAAAAUAACUAAUAAUUGUGUUAUAAAUGUAAUUGUUAGUCGUUGACACCAUCUUCAAUAAGUCCAAGUCACUACUUAUACAUAACGAAACUUGUAGCAAUGUUCUAAAAAUAUUGUACUUUACUCAGGAUCAAUAUGCGCCACCGUUAUUAAACGGAUACGGAAAGAAUUUUACUUCUCAUAAUUAAAAAAAUUAUGAGAUAAAAAAAGAAGCAGUGUUGGAGAAUUUUCUGGUGUUAAUUUUUUACUCUUGAUGUCUUAAUAGUGAAAUUUUCCUUAUUCGUUAUUAUGCACUAUUUGUUAUAAUAACUUUAAAAAAUAAUUUGCGUGACAAGAUAUAAAAAAUUAUUUCCAGCAAAUUAUUGGAAGUAAAUUGCUAUCCAUUAAACAAGUUUUAAGUGUGCUGUUUCACAAUUUUUGAUUAGUAAAAAUCAAUAUAUGGGAUAGUGCAGGAUUGAUGAUACAAGAAGUGAGAAAUUUGAGAAAUUAGGAACAGCUUGAGCUUAGCUUCUUCAAUAUUUCGAUUCUUCGUACAAAGCUUUUAAUUUAGCAAAGCAAUGCUUUACUUCUCUAGUUAGGAUUCUCGUUUUCUCUCGGAAAAUUAGCACACGUCUUGUAUCAUCAAUCUUCCAUUAUCCCAUACACUUAAUUUUACUAAUCAAAAAUUAUAAAAUAGCAAACUUAAAACUUGUUUAAUAGAUGGCAAUUUAUUUCCAAUAAUUUGCUUGGAUUAAUUUUUUAUAAAAUACAUCAGAUUCUGAUUUAUGCAAAUUAUUUCUUCAAUUUCUUUAUUAUGCAUAAUAUCGAAUAAAAACUAUUUUACUAUUAAUUUCAAGAGCAAAGAAUUAAAGCAGGAAAAUUCUUUAACGAUGCGUUUUUUAUUCUAUCUUAUAAUUUUUUAAUUAUGAAAAGCAAAACUCUUUCUUUGUGUUUGUCUAAUGACGUGUAUUACUCGUAAAUAAAGUACAGUAUACAAUAUUUUUGGAAUGUUGCUGCAAACUUUGUUUUGUAUAAGUAAUGAUUUGGAUUUAUUCAAGAUGGUGUCAACGACUAGCAAUCAUAUUUAUAAUUAUUAGUUAUUUUGUAAUAUUAAAUGUAAAAAACAGCUUUUUUUAAUAAAAACAUAUAAAAUUAGUCUCGUUCGACAUUUAUUUUAUCCCUCAAAUAUACUAAUAAUUCUCUUUCAAUUUAUGGACCAAUUUUAUCCGCUCAAAAAAUCAAGAAACGUAAUAAUUAUUUAUUUUUGUUUUAAUCAUUAACAAUUCACCUAAUUGUUUAAAUAAGACGUAUAAGAUUUCAAACGAUGCAGAACAUCAAGCAUACAUAUAAAACAAAAGAAAAGCAAACUUACCUGCGCUCCAUAUAACUUAUUUGAGUGAAGCCAGUAAGUCAUCUCUUAUGGUAAAGAGUUGUUCAAACCAUUAAUAAUUACCUUGUAUAUAUUUACAUAUAUGAUUAUACUACAGAUUCCAUAGCGCAUAAGCAUACCGCGUUUUAUUAUAAGUUUAUUUUAAUGGUUUGUUUUAGUGUUUAGCAUGGCAAGUUAUCAGGCUAAGUGUUUUAAAAGAGUAAAACAAAGGAUGCGAUGUAUGUAUACUUAUAUGGACUUUAAAGUUAUACUUACUGAAAUAGUAACGUCUAUCAAGUUUUGUAAAAAUUGUGUCUAUUAUUCUAAUAUUAAUUAUAAUUAUUUUGUGUUACUAUAAAAAUAUAAUUUUAUUCUAAUAUUUUAUCAUUUUAUUGCAAUUUUAUAACUGUAUACAAUUUGUAUUAUACUUUUAUGCAUUAUAUUUGUUUUCUAUUAUAAUAAAUUAUAAAAAGUAUCACUUAAAAUUUCUUAAAACGAUCGAAGUUAACAAGCGUUAAAAACUUAAAACAAGUUAAAAACUUUAAAUAUUUGGCAAUAGAGAAUUGUAUAGAGGAGAAGAGAGGUAAUAUGCCUCCCAUUUUUAUUGUAUUGAAUAACUUUGUUUAUAAUUAAUAUUUUCUAUUGAAAAUU